rnacentral:rRNA from 1 species
CGCGGCCUAUCAGCUUGUUGGUGAGGUAAUGGCUCACCAAGGCGACGACGGGUAGCCGGCCUGAGAGGGUGACCGGCCACACUGGGACUGAGACACGGCCCAGACUCCUACGGGAGGCAGCAGUGGGGAAUAUUGCACAAUGGGCGCAAGCCUGAUGCAGCGACGCCGCGUGAGGGAUGACGGCCUUCGGGUUGUAAACCUCUUUCAGUAGGGAAGAAGCGAGAGUGGCGGUACCUGCAGAAGAAGCGCCGGCUAACUACGUGCCAGCAGCCGCGGUAAUACGUAGGGCGCAAGCGUUAUCCGGAUUUAUUGGGCGUAAAGAGCUCGUAGGCGGUUUGUCGCGUCUAUCGUGAAAGUCCGAGGCUCAACCUCGGAUCUGCGGUGGGUACGGGCAGACUAGAGUGAUGUAGGGGAGACUGGAAUUCCUGGUGUAGCGGUGAAAUGCGCAGAUAUCAGGAGGAACACCGAUGGCGAAGGCAGGUCUCUGGGCAUUUACUGACGCUGAGGAGCGAAAGCAUGGGGAGCGAACAGGAUUAGAUACCCUGGUAGUCCAUGCCGUAAACGUUGGGCACUAGGUGUGGGGGACAUUCCACGUUUUCCGCGCCGUAGCUAACGCAUUAAGUGCCCCGCCUGGGGAGUACGG